ACAUAAUUAGACAUAGAAGAGUGAUAUGCACGGUUGAACAUCAUAAACCACUAAAGUUGAGUCACGUGAGGGAUAAACUAUCUAAGUAAAACACACCCUUGAAAACCAACUUGUAAGGGGAGAAUGUAUAAAAACUUAUUAAACUCUCACUGUACCGUAGUGAUAUGGGAUCUUAACAAAGAAAAGGAUUCUAAUUCCAAAAAACUAUCCUAGAAAUAAACGAGCAAUUAGAAGAAUAGGUGCUAUUUAGGGGGAUUGUAACAGUUGGACCAAUCACAAGUGGAAUCCAAAGAUGAAUCCACCAAAAAAGAGCCGCGUCACCAAGAGAAGGAUUGAAUCACACAACCCAACCACAAGCACUAUGGCGUUUCAAUCUUCCAAUAAAGAUUCAACGAGUAAAAUGGUCCACUGAGUUGAACAACCCUCAAAAUUGUAUAGUGGCGCACCUAGCAAACUCUGACAGAGUCACAGUACUCAUAAUUUCAAAUUUCACCUCAUUUAAUGGGGCUAAUUCAGCUAUUUAUCAUUACAAAUCAAUUAAAUGCCCUUUCUUCACCUUUUCAAUAUCCCAUUUUCCUAACUGUCAAUACGAUUUUGGAUGGUUGAUAUAUUCAAUUAUGUUUUAAAGUGCUGUAAAACUUGAAUUUACCCUUUUCUGCCUCAUCUAGGGUGAUUCAACUACAGCCAUCCACACUAAAGCCUUAGGCACAUUUCCACAGCAAAAUUGGUUUUAGUGGACCACCACUUUUACGAAUAUAGGUGCUCUAUAAAUCAUUGUUCUCUUUGUUGGCGUGGAAAUCUUGCACUUUACCACUAUAUGUUGUACGAUGGAGGUACUGUCACUCUUAGGCUUUUAUUUUUUAUUUUAAGCAGCCCAUUAAUUAAGUACAUUACCUCUCAGUAGUAGUAGUUUCCCAAGGCCUGCAUUUUC
rnacentral:misc_RNA from 1 species